GGGGCUGAGGUUCAGUGGUUAGAACACUUGCCUCUCAUGCUUGAGGUCCUAGGUUCAAUCCCGAGUACCACCA
rnacentral:tRNA from 1 species